AACGCAUAUUGCGCUCGAGCCCUCGGGCAAGAGCAUGUCUGCCUCAGCGUCGGUUUACAUCCUCACCCCCCAACUUAUUGGGCGUGUUUGCUCUAUUAGCAAGCCAUUGGGGUGGAUCUGGCUUCCCCAAUCAGCCGUUUCACUGCGGUAGAUUGGGUUGGCUGAAGUGCAGAGGCUUAAGCAAGGACCCGACAUGGGCAUCAACUGGAUAGGUAGCUCCGGUCUUGCCGACUACACGAAGUUGUUGCUUGUGGAUCUUGCUAGGGGCCAAGCAGGAACGUGCCUUUGGCAUGCCUAAACUUUCGACCUGAGCUCAGGCAAGACUACCCGCUGAACUUAA
rnacentral:misc_RNA from 1 species